rfam:Myotis davidii contig148740, whole genome shotgun sequence.
AGGCCUGGAGAGAGAAGCAGGGUCUGAUCCGUAGGCUCCAUGGCAGCUGCUGAUCAGCGAUUGCCUCUCCCUUUCUCUCUG